rnacentral:rRNA from 1 species
UACGAAGGGGGCUAGCGUUGUUCGGAAUUACUGGGCGUAAAGCGUGCGCAGGCGGUGAGCUGUGUCCGAUGUGAAAGCCCCGGGCUUAACCUGGGAAUGGCAUUGGAAACUGGCUCGCUGGAGUGUGGCAGAGGGGGGUGGAAUUCCGCGUGUAGCAGUGAAAUGCGUAGAGAUCCGGAGGAACACCGACGGCGAAGGCAGCGCCCUGGCCGCCAUCUGACGCUCAGGCACGAAAGCUGGGGGAGCGAACAGG